AACUGGGGAGUCUUGGAGUACAGUAGAGGGGGGCCGGAAUUCGUGGUGUAGCGGUGAAAUGCUUAGAUAUCACGAAGAACUCCGAUUGCGAAGGCAGCUCACUAGACUGUUACUGACACUGAUGCUCGAAAGUGUGGGUAUCAAACAGGAUUAGAUACCCUGGUAGUCCACACAGUAAACGAUGAAUACUCGCUGUUUGCGAUAUACAGUAAGCGGCCAAGCGAAAGCAUUAAGUAUUCCACCUGGGGAGUACGCCGGCAACGGUGAAACUCAAAGGAAUUGACGGGGGCCCGCACAAGCGGAGGAACAUGUGGUUUAAUUCGAUGAUACGCGAGGAACCUUACCCGGGCUUAAAUUGCAACAGAAUAUAUUGGAAACAGUAUAGCCGUAAGGCUGUUGUGAAGGUGCUGCAUGGUUGUCGUCAGCUCGUGCCGUGAGGUGUCGGCUUAAGUGCCAUAACGAGCGCAACCCUUAUCUUUAGUUACUAACAGGUCAUGCUGAGGACUCUAGAGAGACUGCCGUCGUAAGAUGUGAGGAAGGUGGGGAUGACGUCAAAUCAGCACGGCCCUUACGUCCGGGGCUACACACGUGUUACAAUGGGGGGUACAGAAGGCAGCUACACGGCGACGUGAUGCUAAUCCCAAAAACCUCUCUCAGUUCGGAUCGAAGUCUGCAACCCGACUUCGUGAAGCUGGAUUCGCUAGUAAUCGCGCAUCAGCCAUGGCGCGGUGAAUACGUUCCCGGGCCUUGUACACGGGGCCCGUCAAGCCAUGAAAGCCGGGGGUACCUGAAGUAC
rnacentral:rRNA from 1 species